rnacentral:rRNA from 1 species
UACGUAGGGGGCAAGCGUUGUCCGGAAUUAUUGGGCGUAAAGAGCGUGUAGGCGGUCCGGUAAGUCAGCUGUGAAAGUCAAGGGCUCAACCCUUGAAUGCCGGUUGAUACUGUCGGGCUAGAGUCCGGAAGAGGCGAGUGGAAUUCCCGGUGUAGCGGUGAAAUGCGCAGAUAUCAGGAAGAACACCAACGGCGAAGGCAGCUCGCUGGGACGGUACUGACGCUGAGACGCGAAAGCGUGGGGAGCGAACAGG